rnacentral:tRNA from 1 species
GGGCGCGUAGCUCAGUUGGUUAGAGUACUUCCUUGACAUGGAAGGGGUCACAGGUUCGAGUCCUGUCGCGCCCA